UUUUUAAUAAGUCUUUCAAGAAAAUUAAGUCAAGAAAGGCUGAAUAUUAAACAACUUAUACAAAGAAAGAAGCCGCUUAAGUGGAAGUAGGCCCGGAAUUUAAACGAGAGCAACCUGAAAGGAGACAGCGAAACUUACUCCAAACCGUUC